rnacentral:lncRNA from 1 species
ACCUUCUCUCAGAGGCCAGUAUGACUGCUGUCUCAAUCUUGCCACUCUGCUGUAAAAUUUUUCUCUGUCUCCUAUACAGUGAGUGCUGCCAACAUCUGGCAUACUAGAAUUGAUCUACUGGGCACUGCAGCCUAGUGGCUAAAAGUCCUGCCACUUACUAACCAUGGGACCUUGGACAUGUUCUUCAACUGCUGUGUGUUAUGAGGAUUAAAUGAUUUAAUCCAUAAAAAAUGCUUGAAGAAUGCCAACAUGCACAAUGUUGCUCCAACAGCCAAGUUAUGAUCUUGGAAGAGUUUGCUGUCCAGUGACUUCCUGAUGGCAUUCAAGGUUGGCAUAGAACGCUACCUGGCCCAUGGGUUACUCGCCAUCUAAAACCAAAAAUCAGGACAUAUUUAUAUCUUAUUGCUAUGUCCAAAGGUUGAUUUUUCUUCACUUGGUGAGCAUCUUCUGUUUGGCAUUUCCACAUGUAAUAAGUUAAGAACUGAUUUGAGAAGAUAUCCAAAAAAUGCAAUUGUAUAAAUCCAAAUAAAAAAUUUAAAUAAUCAUCCCAAGAUGGCUGUGG